CUCAUGACAGGCUGCUGCAGGCUUCCGACAACAAACAUCACAUCGUUGUUUUAAACCCAGGCCUUUUUGACAUUAUAAAUAAAACCUAAAAGCGAUAUUGUGCGUUUUUAAACAUGCAGUAAAAUAUUUUGACGAUUAUUUUUUUGGAUAUAUUUAUUAACAAUGGCGGAAGUAGAGGAGCAGGCCAGAAAACCUAGUGAGGAAUUCACAGAUGAAUCUGAGGAGGAGGACAGCGAGGAGGAGCCCAAGCUGAAAUACGAGCGUCUCUCCAACGGUGUGACAGAAAUCCUGCAGAAGGACGCGGCCAGCUGCAUGACCGUCCAUGACAAG